AUAAAUCUGUUGAAAUACACAGCAUAGUUUGAAGAUAUGGUUUGCUAGCUAUCUGUCAAACUUGGUAGGUGGUGUGCUAAUCACGAAUUAUUAAGUGGUGUCAAUACAGACUUCAGCUCUACACUGGUUGUGUAGGCUAUACUUCAAUCUGUCAAUCUGUCAGCCCUCUAGUGAGUGUGCCAUGCUUUAUUGAAUCAUGGUUUAAGGUGAUGAAUGUCUGUAUUAUAAAACAAAGCAAUAUAGUAAAUAUUAUGCUUCCUCUUUGUCUUUUUUGUUAUUUUAGAUGUAGGUAGAGAAGAGUCAGUGGCUGGUGAAGUAAGAGGAUACAGCUGUCUGCUGAUUCAAGGUCCCUGCCCCGUCGCCUCAACAUCCUCAAGAUCCUGUAGGCUACUGCUGCUGCUCCUUGCUUCAGCACCUUUCCCCUGAUGCCUGACACCCCUCAUCACCAAAUCAGCCCAGUCAACAUGGACCCAACAUGGACCCAAGUCUCCACCACAGUGUGCACAAUACACUAUACACAGACAGGGACGAGAACAAAGGUACAAUUGGUCUGAGGGGAGGACACCGCAGACAGCUGAUCAACUCCAUGUCAUCUAAUCAGGCCAUGUAAAGGACCAUGAAGGGAUGGACUUGGUGGAGGACAACAAUGUGACACCCGAAAAGAGUACAUGGAGAUCUCUCAUCCUCAUCCCUCAUGCUUAUAUUGCAUUUCAUAUAGGCCUAGAUUCUGAUGGUCUUGUAAAUCUUUGUUACACAAGUCAGAAAUUGUUGUCUUUGAUUAUUUAAUUUGAUUAUAAUAAAUGGAAAUAUAUUUUAUUGAAAAAUAUUUUUGAAAACCUA